CGACCCUCAAGCAUAGCUUGGUGUUGGGUGAAGUCCCCCUUAUGGGACCCUCCCGUAACUUGUAGGCGGUCACCGUCCGCACUCCCCCGGCGUAGCAGGCCUCACGCACUCGCUCGGGGAUAGGGUGAGACUAUGCCUUUACAAAACAACCAUUUCAAAGGU
rnacentral:misc_RNA from 1 species